UACGAAGGGGGCUAGCGUUACUCGGAAUGACUGGGCGUAAAGGGCGCGUAGGCGGUUUGUUUAGUUAGGCGUGAAAUUCCUGGGCUCAACCUGGGGGCUGCGCUUAAUACAGGCAGACUAGAGUGUGAAAGAGGGUCGUGGAAUUUCCAGUGUAGAGGUGAAAUUCGUAGAUAUUGGAAAGAACACCGGUGGCGAAGGCGGCGACCUGGUACAUUACUGACGCUGAGGCGCGAAAGCGUGGGGAGCAAACAGG
rnacentral:rRNA from 1 species